AGGGAUAAGCGGUGUUUAGCCGCACGAGAUUGAGCGAUAACAGGUCUGUGAUGCCCUUAGAUGUCCGGGGCUGCACGCGCGCUACAAUGGAAGAAUCAGCUGGCCUAUCCAUUGCUGAAAGGUAUUGGUAAACCGUUGAAACUCUUCCGUGACCGGGAUAGGGAAUUGUAACUAUUUCCCUUGAACGAGGAAUUCCUAGUAAGUGUGAGUCAUCAGCUCACGCUGAUUACGUCCCUGCCAUUUGUACACACCGCCCGUCGCUGUCCGGGACUGAGCUGUCUCGAGAGGACUGCGGACUGCUGUAUUGAGGCCUUCGGGUCGCGGUAUGGCGGGAAAC
rnacentral:rRNA from 1 species